rnacentral:rRNA from 1 species
AUACGGAGGGAGCGAGCGUUAAUCGGAAUUACUGGGCGUAAAGCGCGCGUAGGCGGCUUUGUAAGUCGGAUGUGAAAGCCCUGGGCUCAACCUGGGAAUUGCAUUCGAUACUGCAGAGCUAGAGUAUGGUAGAGGGAAGUGGAAUUUCCGGUGUAGCGGUGAAAUGCGUAGAUAUCGGAAGGAACACCGGCGGCGAAAGCGGUGCACUGGUCCAAUACUGACGCUGAGGUGCGAAAGCUAGGGUAGCAAACGGGAUUAGAAACCCCAGUAGUCC